rnacentral:rRNA from 1 species
CGCGCGCAGGCGGUCCUUUAAGUCUGAUGUGAAAGCCCACGGCUCAACCGUGGAGGGUCCUUGGAAACGGGGGGACUUGAUUGCAGAAAAGGAAAGUGAAAUUCCACGUGUACCGGUGAAAUGCGUAAAGAUGUGAAGGAACACCAUUGGCAAAGGCGACUUUCUGGUCUGUAACUGACCCUAAGGCCCAAAAGCGGGGGGAGCAAACAGGAUUAAAUACCCGGGUAUUCCCCCCCGUAAACAAUGAGUGCUAGUUGUUAGAGGGUUUCCGCCCUUUGCUGCUGCAGCUAACGCAUUAGCCACUCCGCCUGGGGAGUACGGCCGCUGGGCUGAAACUCAGAGGAAUUGACGGGGGCCCGCACCAGCGGAGGAGCAUGUGGUUUAAUUCGAAGCAACACGAAGAACCUUACCAGGUCUUGACCUCCUCUGACAACCCUAAAGAUAAGGCUUUCCCCUUCCGGAGACAAAGUGACAGGUGGUGCAUGGUUGUCCUCAGCUCGUGUCAUGAGAUGUUGGGUUAAGUCCCGCAACCAGCGCAACCCUUGAUCUUACUUGCCAUCAUUCGGUUGGGCACUCUAAAGUGACUGCCAGUGACAAAACGAAGGAAGG